GGCGGACGGGUGAGUAACGCGUGGGCAAGCGGCCCUGUAUUCUGGGAUAACCGGUCAAAAGGCCUGCUAAUACCGGAUGAGCUUAGCAUCUCGCAUGGGGUGGUAAGGGAAGGGGGAACCCGCUACUGGAUGGGCCCGCGUCCCAUUAGCUAGUUGGUGAGGUAACGGCUCACCAAGGCGACGAUGGGUAGCCGGCCUGAGAGGGCGACCGGCCACACUGGAACUGAGACACGGUCCAGACUCCUACGGGGGGCAGCAGUAGGGAAUAUUCGGCAAUGGGCGAAAGCCUGACCGAGCGACGCCGCGUGAGGGACGAAGGUCUUCGGAUUGUAAACCUCUGUCUAGGGGGACUAUUAAGGACGGUACCCCUGGAGGAAGCCCCGGCUAACUACUUGCCAGCAGCCGCGGUAAUACUUAGGGGGCGAGCGUUGUCCGGAAUUACUGGGCGUAAAGGGCGCGCAGGCGGCCGUGUAAGUCAG
rnacentral:rRNA from 1 species